UCCGUAGGCGGGUAAUUAAGUCAGAGGUGAAAUCCCACAGCUCAACUGUGGAACUGCCUUUGAUACUGGUUGUCUUGAGUUACAGUGAAGUAGAUAGAAUAUGUAGUGUAGCGGUGAAAUGCAUAGAUAUUACAUAGAAUACCGAUUGCGAAGGCAGUCUACUAACUGUAUACUGACGCUAAUGGACGAAAGCGUGGGGAGCGAACAGGAUUAGAUACCCUGGUAGUCC
rnacentral:rRNA from 1 species